rnacentral:rRNA from 1 species
UACGUAGGGUGCGAGCGUUAAUCGGAAUUACUGGGCGUAAAGCGUGCGCAGGCGGCUUGCUAAGACAGGUGUGAAAGCCCCGAGCUUAACUUGGGAAUGGCGCUUGUGACUGGCAGGCUGGAGUGUGGCAGAGGGAGGUGGAAUUCCACGUGUAGCAGUGAAAUGCGUAGAGAUGUGGAGGAACACCGAUGGCGAAGGCAGCCUCCUGGGCCAACACUGACGCUCAUGCACGAAAGCGUGGGGGGCAAACAGG